rnacentral:rRNA from 1 species
GAUGAACGCUGACAGAAUGCUUAACACAUGCAAGUCUUUGGCGAAGCUGUGCUUGCACAGCCUAGCCAAGGCGGACGGGUGAGUAACGCGUAAGGAACUUGCCCUGCAGUCAGGGAUAACAGACGGAAACGACUGAUAAGACCUGGUAAAGUCAGGCGGACUCAUGUCCAGCCUGAUGAAAAGAGAUGCUGCAGGAGAGCCUUGCGUCCUAUUAGCUUGUUGGUGGGGUAACGGCCCACCAAGGCGAUGAUAGGUAGCCGGCCUGAGAGGGUGGACGGCCACAAGGGGACUGAGAUACGGCCCUUACUCCUACGGGAGGCAGCAGUGGGGAAUAUUGGAUAAUGGGGGCAACCCUGAUCCAGCAAUUCUGUGUGCACGAUGAAGGUUUUCGGAUUGUAAAGUGCUUUCAGCAGGGAAGAAAAAAAUGACGGUACCUGCAGAAGAAGCGACGGCUAAAUACGU